rnacentral:rRNA from 1 species
GCUUAGAUACCCUGGUAGUCCACCCCGUAAACGUUGGGAACUAGUUGUGGGGACCAUUCCACGGUUUCCGUGACGCAGCUAACGCAUUAAGUUCCCCGCCUGGGGAGUACGGCCGCAAGGCUAAAACUCAAAGGAAUUGACGGGGACCCGCACAAGCGGCGGAGCAUGCGGAUUAAUUCGAUGCAACGCGAAGAACCUUACCAAGGCUUGACAUACAUCAGAACACCGUAGAAAUACGGGACUCUUUGGACACUGGUGAACAGGUGGUGCAUGGUUGUCGUCAGCUCGUGUCGUGAGAUGUUGGGUUAAGUCCCGCAACGAGCGCAACCCUCGUUCUAUGUUGCCAGCACGUAAUGGUGGGAACUCAUGGGAUACUGCCGGGGUCAACUCGGAGGAAGGUGGGGAUGACGUCAAAUCAUCAUGCCCCUUAUGUCUUGGGCUUCACGCAUGCUACAAUGGCCGGUACAAAGGGCUGCAAUACCGUGAGGUGGAGCGAAUCCCAAAAAGCCGGUCCCAGUUCGGAUUGAGGUCUGCAACUCGACCUCAUGAAGUCGGAGUCGCUAGUAAUCGCAGAUCAGCAACGCUGCGGUGAAUACGUUCCCGGGUCUUGUACACACCGCCCGUCAAGUCAUGAAAGUC